GAUGAACGCUGGCGGCGUGCCUAACACAUGCAAGUCGAGCGAUUCUCUUCGGAGAAGAGCGGCGGACGGGUGAGUAACGCGUGGGUAACCUGCCCUGUACACACGGAUAACAUACCGAAAGGUAUGCUAAUACGGGAUAAUAUGUUUUGAUCGCAUGGUCGAAACAUCAAAGGUCCGGCGGUACAGGAUGGACCCGCGUCUGAUUAGCUAGUUGGUGAGGUAAUGGCUCACCAAGGCGACGAUCAGUAGCCGACCUGAGAGGGUGAUCGGCCACAGUGGAACUGAGACACGGUCCAAACUGCUACGGGAGGCAGCAGUGGGGAAUAUUGCACAAUGGGCGAAAGCCUGAUGCAGCAACGCCGCGUGAGCGAUGAAGGCCUUCGGGUCGUAAAGCUCUGUCCUCAAGGAAGAUAAUGACGGUACUUGAGGAGGAAGCCCCGGCUAACUACGUGCCAGCCGCCGCAGUAA
rnacentral:rRNA from 1 species